rnacentral:lncRNA from 1 species
CCUGGCCAAUGCAUUCAGAUCAACCAAGGAAUUCUCAGCUGGUAACAAAGGUCCUGAAAACUGGCCUAACUGUGAGGCAUUGGGCACGUCGGGAUGAAUUGGUUGCAUCAGAAAUAGUUGAAAAUGCUGUGAGAACUUUGAUGGCUUCACCUGAGGGAGAUGAGAUGAGGAAGAGAGCAUCAGAAUUAAGCAUUGCUGUCAAACAAUCAGUCAUGGAUGGGGAAGGUUACGGUGCGGAGAUGAAUUCUUUUAUCGCACACAUUACUCGAGAACUUUCUCACCAGAAUUGACCAAUUGAUAGCAUAAGUGGUUCAACCUAUGAGACUUUAUCAAUGCUCUAUCACCAUCUGAGUGGGUUCAGUGUCCCCUUUUAUGCACAUCACUGCAUGUAUGUUUAAGGAUAAAAAGCUUUUCUUUAUGAGUUCCUUAUAUUUUUUAGUAUAAAUGUAAAGGUCCUCCUUUACUAGCAACUAGUUCUUUUGGCCAGAGAUAUAAAAUAUUAGAAGCUGUUUGUGUAAUCUUUCAAGAACUUUUUGCUUGUGACUACUGAGUGAUAUACUAUGUAUUUUCCAUUCUGCCAGACUUCUCAUCUUGUUAAGUGUAAUUUACAUUAUUUUCUCAACAUUAAUACUACUCAUAUUUUGCAUCUAGACAAAUAAGGAAGAGAUACGGUAAGCUUUCUUGAGAGAUUAGAUUUGAAAUUGCAAUUUGCUCUGUUGCAAAAGGAGCUGUAAAAGGGGGAAAAUCAGAAGAGUUUGAUAUAAGGUAUCUACUUUGAUCUGUAUUUCAGAUUUAGUGGUAACUGUGGAACAUAUUCAAUUCCUUGACCAAGUAAGAUUGCUAAAGUAUUUUUGAAUCUUUUGUGUCUUACAUUCUAAAAAAAACCUAAAAUACAGGAAAUGUUAGGGGUGCGUCCUUUUUCCGCAUCUUGCUAAGGGGGAUUUUGGGGCACCGAAUUUCUCUUCCUUUAUGUUUCAGUGUGGGUUAGUUUAGUCCAUAUUUCAAAUUUGAGACCUCAAAAGAUUACCUGCUUAAUCAACUAUAGUUAUAUGUAUGCUUCAUAAGUGACAAAACAUAAAUAAUUAAUGGUGUAUGCUAUUAUUAUAUUUAACAAAAAACAACAUCGUUCGUUAUAGUACAUGAUACUUGAGUUUUCCAAAGUGAAUAGAAAAAUGGUAUAUGUGAAGCAAUAAUUAGUCAUGUGUUUCAUUUUAUGUGUUACUAGCUAGCUAUCAAAAUUGACACUUAUAGCAUUGACUAAUUUAAGUUGCAACCAAAACCCACUAUUAGUGGCAACCAUUAUAGGGAUUACCGAUGAUCAAAAUAGCAGGUAAAAACAUACUUUCAUCUGAAACUUAAAUAAGAAUAAGCAACAACUGCAUAUACCCCUAAUAUUGACAUUUAGUGGCGAGAAAUUUUGCCACAGAAACAAGAUACUAGCAACGACUAAUUUUGUCACUAAAACAUUCUUUUAUUGGCGACUAUUAUAGGUAUUAGCAACUACUUAUUUUGCCACUAAAACAUUCUUUUAUUGGCGCCUAUUAUGAGCAUUAGCGGCGAUUAUUCUUGCCACUAAAACAAACUAUUAGUGGCGACUAUUAUAUGUAUUAGCAGCGACAGCUUUUGCCACUAAAACAUUAUUUUAGUGGCCACUAGUAUAGGUAUUACAACGACUAAUUUUGCCACCAAACAUUCUUUUAGUGCCGACUAUUAUGAGUAUUAGCGGCGAUUAUUCUUUUCACUAAAACAAACUAUUAGUGGCGACUAUUAUAUGUAUUAGCAGCGACUAAGUAGUGACUUUUCCGUAAAAUUUGUGACUUUUAAGAAGGGUAAAAUAAAUAAGAAUCUUGAUUUGUGACGGCGUCGCAUAGGCAGGUCGGCUGUUGUAAACAAAUGCACGUUUAUGAAGAGUGGCAAGAGUGGUAACAAAAUGAACGGAAAAAGCAGCGGUUGAAGGCUGAAACUACGUUCCUAUUGUUGAGGGGGAAGGACAGUUUUGGAAAUAAAUAAAUAAAAAAAGAAUCCUUACUUCUAGUGGCGCGACGUCACCGGGUUGAGGGUUCUCUUUUAUAUAUAUAUAUAUAUAUUCUUUAAUUUAAUAUAAUUUUAUUUUAUUUUGAAAUUAAUGAUCUGAAACAAAUCUUAGAAAUUUGUGUAGCGAUAAAUUAUUUCAAUUAAGAAUAAAAGAAAAAAAUUAAAGUUAAAAUAUGCCUAAUUAUAGAAAGGUGACAACUUUUUUUUUGUCACGAAUUAAAAAGAAAAAUAUGUCACAUUAAUUUGAACAAAUAAAGUAUACAACAAUUUCAUUAUUUUUUAGAAAAUAAAUGAUACUAACGUUUAACUUUCUUUUUUUAAUAAAAUAAAAUAAAACGCAAAUAGUAAAGAGAUUUUGUGGAUCUCCCACCAAACGUUUUCUUCAAAGUUGAAUCAUGUAGUUGAAAAUGGAUUAUAUAAUUUAAUGUUUAUUUAUAGGUGCAUUAGAGCAUUAAGAUGAGGUAAUUAUUCGGUGUAUUUUUAAAAUCAGCUUAUUUAAAAAAAAUAAAAAAUUAUUCGGUGUAUUUUAAAAAAAUACUUUUUGGAAGUAUCAGUUUAUUUGAAUAAUCAAUUUGAAAAAUAUUUAUAUUAAAACUAAAACAAUUAGUAUUCGACCAAAAUUCUAAAAGUGUUUCGAAGGUUAAAAACUAUUUCGCUUCAAGGAAAACCAACUUCUACUUUAGAUGAAAACACAUAUAUUUUUCCCAGAAGCUUUGAUCAAACACUUCAAUUCUCUAAGUGGACUCUAAAGAAGGUGAUAUGUUUGCAGUCUUAUAACUACUAUGUGAAAGAUAGAAAUAUUGUUAUCGAUAUACCUUGACUCAAGUAAAAUAUAUAAAAAUCAAGUAUCUUGAGAACUUAUUUCUAAUAAAUCCUCGGCUCAACUCUUUAAAAUAACCACAUAUUUUAUUUUAAGAAAUUCCCGACUCAACUUUCUAAAAUAAUCAUUCUUUCUUUAGAAAAAAAACUUCUUAUUUCAUUGAAACUUGACCAGACAGACUAUAAAUUAGUAUUACCUAAUUGGUGAAGAUAUCUAGAAUUUCCUUUUGUGAUAACAUCAAAUAAUGGAGAAACUACAACAACUGCUUAAUAUGGACAAAAACUGAAAAGAAAGUCUAUAAUGUCUGCUCCCAUAACAAACAUAUUAGUAUUUUGUCCUAUGAUAGAAGAUUCUAAUAAUAAAAUAAUGAAGAUCUACAAAUUAUAUAUAUUUGGAUUUUUUUACAAUGAGGAUGAUGAUAUUUUUCUUUGGUAGCUAACAACAUAUUUGUAAAUAACAUGCCAUUAUGGUUAUUAUUCAGUGAAUUUCUCGAUAAAUAUACAAAGUUUAGACUAAAGUUAUUGAGUUUUGCUGAACAUUGCGGCAAGAACAUGGGAAAGAGUAUGUAAUCAACUCAAUAUUGACUCUCUCCAGUCUCCUUUAGCACAAAACUCAAAAGAAAAACUAAGAAGCUGCAGUCCAAACAUAUAGUAUGUUAAUAUUUGAAUUGUGAACAUACAAAAGUAUGUUUUCUACAUAAAUUCAUAGUAUAGAGAAUUGAGGGUAUAACUUUUUUCGUAACCACUUGUCGGUAGUUCUACAACACAAUAACAUAUCCAGUGUAAUCCCACUUGUCGGUGGUUUUAUUACAAAAAAAACAAAGAGAUUUGAUUGUGAUUGCAUACAGAUGCCUGUUCAUUUUGUUGAGAAGGUAUCCUAUUAAUGAUUUUAAGUUUUUUAGCAGCCCACCAGCAAGUACAAGUUGGCAUUGGACUCAUGCAUUAUAAAAGAAUCUAUGUUUUCACCUAGACUACAUGUAACUCGAGACACUUCAGAAGCUCAGAUACUCAUACAACUGCAAAAUUUCAAAACAUUUCCCAAUGGCUGAGAACUACACAACAAAAAGAAAUGGCCAAAUAAGUGUUCAAGAUGCACAAGUGGCUGUGGUUAUGGUGCCACUUUCAGCACAAGGCCAUCUCAACCAGCUUCUCCACCUCUCGAGGCUCAUCACCUCGUAUAAUAUCCCAGUCCAUUAUGUUGGAGCAACCACUCAUAUUCGCCAGGCUAAGUUUCGUGUCCAUGGUUUCGACCCUGGCACAGCUAAAAACCUAUAUUUUCAUGAAUUCCCUACACCACCUUUCGAAAAUCCUCCUCCAAAUCCUAAUGCUUCAAAUAAAUUUCCUAACCAAUUAAUCCCUUCAUUUUAUGCAACAAUCCAUCUCCGUGAGCCAGUGUGCUCUCUUGUACGCCAACUACUAGGCGUCAAUCAUCGGAGAGUGAUUGUUAUUUAUGAUUCUAUGAUGAGUUGGGUAGUAGAGGAUGUACCAGCAAUUCCAAAUGCUGAGUGCUACCGUUUUAAUAGUAUCUCAGCUUUCCAUACGUUUUCAUGCAUCUGGGAAUCCAGAGGGAAACCUUUACAAGCUGGAACUGAAAUAUUCGAGGACAUUUCAUCAAACGAAAACUGUGCUACCCCAGAGUUAUGGGAAUUAUGGAGUAAACAAAAUUCCCUUGAAGGGAAAAUUAGCUCUGGAGAACUUUACAAUUCAUCCAGAGUAAUAGAAGGUUUAUACCUUGAUUUAGUAGCCAAAGAAAUUAAUGGCUUAAACCUACGGGCUAUUGGUCCAUUCAAUCCGUUGUUGCUGACUGAGCAGGACAAUGAUUCAAAUAAACGUCACAAAACCUUGGAUUGGCUUGACAAACAAGAACCGGACUCAGUGAUAUAUGUGUCUUUUGGAACAUCUACUUCUUUGUCGAAUGAAGAAAUUGAACAACUCGCCAUUGGGUUAGAGAAAAGCCUGCAAAAGUUCAUUUGGGUUCUCAGAGAUGCUGACAAAGGAGAUGUUUUUGCAGGUGAAGAAAGGAGAGCUCGGCUGCCGGAAGGUUAUGAAGAAAGAAUAAAAGGAAGAGGAAUUAUUGCAAGAGAUUGGGCACCUCAGUUGGAAAUUUUGGCACAUCCUUCCACAGGUGGUUUUAUGAGUCAUUGCGGAUGGAAUUCGUGCAUGGAAAGCAUUUCCAUGGGAGUUCCUAUAGCAGCCUGGCCAAUGCACUCAGAUCAACCAAGGAAUUCUCAGCUGGUAACAAAGUUCCUGAAAAUUGGCCUAAAUUUGAGACAUGGGGCAUGUCAGGAUGAAUUGGUUACAUCAGAAAUGGUUGAAAAUGCUGUGAGAACUUUGAUGGCUUCACCUGAGGGAGGUGAGAUGAGGAAGAGAGCAUCAGAAUUAAGUGUUGCUGUCAAACAAUCAGUCAUGGAUGGGGAAGGUACUGGUACAGAGAUGGAUUCUUUUAUCACACACAUUACUCGAUAACUUCUCAUUUGUAUUGAACAAUUGGUUGCACACUACCAUCUAGUUAACAUAAGUGAUACAACCUAUGACACUGUAUCAAUGCUCUAUCACCAUCCGAGUGGGUUCAGUGUCCACCCUACUGGCACCCCUUUAUGCACAUCACGGCAUGUAUGUUGAGGAUAAAAACCUUUCCUUUAUGAGUUCUUUGUAUUUGUUAAUAUAAAAGUGGAUGUCCUCCCAGAUAAAUAAAAUAUUGGAUGCUGUUUGUGAAUUCUUACAAGAAUUUUGUGCUUGUGACCUGAAUAACAUAGUAUGUUCUUUCAGGACUUUUAUAGCUUCUUGUCUUUAACUCUGUGACCUUGUAUUUGAUAUUCUGCCAGACUUCUCAUGUUGGUAGGAGUAGACAAUCUUUUUAAGUGUACUUUACAAUAUUUUCUCAACAUUUAUAGAAUACUCUUUUUUGCAUCAAGACAAAUACGGAAGAGCUCUGGUAUUCUAUGAAGUUUUUCAAUUAAAAUAUGAAUCACUUUGUAACUAUACUAACUUUUAACCUUAGCAACACUUUUUCAAAUCUUACGAUGAGUGAUCCAUGAAGCUGUCAGAAAAUCAGAAGAGUUUGACACAAGGUAGCUCUGCUUGUAUCUAUUUUUAUCUGAAGAUGCUUAUUUCAGAUUUAUUAAGUGGUCAAAUUAGUGGGUGACUGAGGAAGGUCUUUGAUUCCUUGACCAACUAAGAUUGCUAAGCAUUUUUUAAUCUUUUGUGUCUUACCCUCUAAAACGAAGCUAAAUUACAGGAAAAUACUACAUAAUGAAGUCUAUUAUGACUGCUCCUUGACUAAAGUUUGCUCCAUUAUGUAAUACUCCUACUAUAUUGUCCUACGAUAAAAGAAUCUGAAGAUAGCAGUGUUUAUAAGAACCACAAAACUAAUAUUGAUAUUUCUUUGAUUCUUGCACUUGAAAUAAACAUAUAUUUGAUUUUUACAAUUAUGAUGAUGAGGAUGUAAAUUCGACUGAGAUUACAAUGACAACUAUCUCAGUAUCUUUAAUACUUACGUGGGUGUAUACUUUUUUUUUCUUCAAAUAAUAUUUUUAUGGUCUGCCUUUGCUGUUGGUUUUUCCUCCAUUUUGUAUAAAACUCAACCAGUUGCUGUUGGUUUUACUGAUAGACAACAAAGGAUUUGAUUGUGACUACUUUAAGUAAUACAUUUUGCAGCAAUAUGUCAAAUAACAGAAGUUAAAAAAUUUCAAUAUCUUUUUAACAAUUAAGCUUUCUAGCAGCCGGCCAGAUAAUUCUAGUUGUUGGAUUCAUGCAUUAGACAUAAUCCUUAUAAGAUCAUCUAUGUUUUUCUCCUACAUAUAACUCAAGGCACUUCAGAAACGGCAGACACUCAUCAAACUACAAAAUUUCUAAGCAUUUCCCAAUGGCCGAGAACUACCCCAUAAAAAGCGAUGGCAAAAAGGGUGUUCAGGAUGCACAAGUGGCAGUGGUUAUGGUGCCACUUUCAGCACAAGGCCAUCUCAACCAGCUUCUCCACCUCUCGAGGCUCAUCACCUCGUAUAAUAUCCCAGUCCAUUAUGUUGGAGCAACCACUCAUAUUCGCCAGGCUAAGUUUCGUGUCCAUGGCUUCGAUCCUGUCACAGCUAAAAAUCUAUAUUUUCAUGAAUUCCCUACACCACCUUUUGAAAAUCCCCCUCCAAAUCCUAAUGCUUCAAAUAAAUUUCCUAACCAAUUAAUCCCUUCAUUUUAUGCAACAAUCCAUCUCCGUGAGCCAGUGUGCUCUCUUGUACGCCAACUACUAGGCGUCAAUCAUCGGAGAGUGAUUGUUAUUUAUGAUUCUAUGAUGAGUUGGGUAGUAGAGGAUGUGCCAGCAAUUCCAAAUGCUGAGUGCUACUGUUUUAAUAGUAUCUCAGCUUUCCAUACGUUUUCAUGCAUCUGGGAAUCCAGAGGAAAACCUUUACAAGCUGGAACAGAAAUAUUUGAGGGCAUUUCAUCAAACAAAAACUGUGCUACCCCAGAGUUAUGGGAAUUAUGGAGGAAACAAGAAGCCCUAAUGAGGAAAGUUAGCUCCGGAGAACUUUACAAUUCAUCUAGAGUAAUUGAAGGUUUAUACCUUGAUUUAGUAGCCAAAGAAAAUGAUGGACUAAACCAAUGGGCUCUUGGUCCAUUCAAUCCGUUGUUGUCUGAGCAGAACAAAAACUCAAAUAAACACCAUCAAACCCUGUAUUGGCUUGACAAACAAGAAACAAACUCGGUAAUAUAUGUGUCUUUUGGAACAACUACUUCCUUGUCGAAUGAAGAAAUUGAAGAACUCGCUGUUGGAUUAGAGAAAAGUAUGCAAAAGUUCAUUUGGGUCCUCAGAGAUGCUGACAAAGGAGAUGUGUUUGCAGGUGAAGAAAGGAGAGCUCAAUUGCCUGAUGGUUAUGAAGAGAGGCUAAAAGGAAGAGGAAUUAUUGUAAGAGAUUGGGCACCUCAGUUGGAAAUUUUGGCACAUCCUUCCACAGGUGGUUUUAUGAGUCAUUGCGGAUGGAAUUCGUGCAUGGAAAGCAUUUCUAUGGGAGUUCCUAUAGCAGCUUGGCCAAUGCAUUCAGAUCAACCAAGGAAUUCUCAGUUAGUAACUAAGUUCCUAAAAAUCGGCCUAAUUGUGAGGCAUUGGGCAUGUCGAGAUGAAUUGGUUACAUCAGAAAUAGUUGAAAAUGCUGUAAGAACUUUGAUGGCUUCACCUGAGGGAGAUGAAAUGAGGAAGAGAGCAUCAGAAUUAAGUAAUGUUGUCAAACAAUCAGUGGUGGAUGGGGGUGUUAACCGUGAGGAGAUGGAUUCUUUUAUCACUCACAUUACUCGAUAAGUUUCCCAUCUAGAUUAAUUUCAUCAAUGGUCAUCGAACUAAGCAUUUAUUGCAUGAAAGUGUGGCUUUGAUGAAGUCAGUUAUGAAAAAUUGGUAAUUCAAUCAUAUUUAGAGGACACUAAUGUAUUUUUCUUUAUAUUUUACUUUCUUCAUUUUGUCUAUGUUCCACCAAAAUCAUAGCUUAUACUUCAACAACCAUCUUUCUCUCUCUCUCUCUGUUUCUCUCUUUGUUGUAGGGUGGCGUCUGGUUGAGUGAGGACUAAUAUAUGUGUAAUAUUAGUUAUCCGUGAAACACAUAAUUUUACUUGUAUUUUUCCUUUACUAAAAUUUUAAAGAGUUUAUUAGCAGGAUAAUAAACUACAACAACAUGGCCGGCCACUAGCUAGGCCAAUAUCCCUGUGAAUCAAAUAUGUGAGAAAUGAGGCAUUCCUCUGUUCUCCUUAACAUUAACUUCAUAGAUCCAAAAUAUACGUAUACUGUAAUAUGUAGUAACAGUUACUCCUUGUUUCAUUUCUCUACGAGGUCCAACUUGAUAUAUUUUGUUGUGAAUCAAGUCGACUUUGUACGGGCUUAUGUGUUAGAAGUAGCGAAUGAGGUUGAUUUGGAUGGGAUAAUUGGGCCGCGUAAAAUAUUAGAGAGUUUUUUUUGGGAUUCAGGCCCAAUUAUCAAUUGGUUAAAUAGGAAUAGGAGUUAGACAAAAAGGUUAUGUGUAUUAUGAAGAAACUGUCUUUUCCUCUCAUUUUCUUUCUAGAGUCUUAACUUCUCAUCCUCAUUCUUAUGUCUAUCUUUAGUUACUUGUUAUUUCAGUACUUCUCUUUGUAAAUCAAGUGUUGUUAUUAUAAUUUGGUUAUCAAUGGAUAUAAGGUUUAUGUAUCUGUAUUGAGAAUUUGGGUUUGUUUCAUAUUCGUUUUUCUUACUCACCAAAGAGCCCAAGUUCAAAUCUUGGCACAUUCUUUUGUCUUUUAUUGAUUUCUCGGUCUUCUAUGCGACUAGCCAAGUAGUCAUAUUCAUUCCUGUUGACACGAAUAGCAACGAAAGAGAAGGAAAUGACAUUUACAGAAGUUGAUUCACAGUUGAAUACUUCAAUCCCAUCAGCUAAUCUAAGCAAGAACCUGGAACUAAAGGAGGAUCUUUAUCCAGCAG